ensembl:lncRNA
CCAGUCCUGACUUGGGCGAGCAGAUGAGGCUGGCGUUGAUAUGCACCCGUUUUGGAAGGAUUUCUGCAUCCUAGGCAGGAUGGAUGAGUGACUGCUUCCUCCUGCCUGCCUGCCAAGCCUGGAUGGCAAGACGCUGGCGUCCAGGGGCAUCGGCUGUCAAGAUCCUGUCUACUUUAAAGGCUGUGAAACUCGCGUGGUACCGAACUUGAAUGUCCACGGAGCAACUGUGUUUAAGCGGAAGUGUUUCAGAGUCAUGCUUGUAAAGCUACAUCUUUGGCUGUCACCCAACUCCACUCGUGUCCCUUCUGCUUUCACCCACUGGAUGCCGCUGUCUGCCCAGGGAAUCUCAGAGCUCUGAACCUUGUGAGGUGGCAGCUGAAAAAAGCUGAAAAAUAUCAUGGACAGUACGAAAUCCAGA